CCUAGGCAACUUCCAAGGGGGGCAUACACCCCCACAAACCCUAGGCAUUCCCCAAUUAACUUUUGAUAUUCUGAGAGGGGUAGGAUUCAACAAGGGCAAGUGUGGGACCUGGUUAAUGAAGGCGUGGGCCAGAUCAAAGUGGCAGGGUGAUGUGAAACAGAAUCUCAAGUGAGGAGAUCAGAAAUCACAAGAGGGCUUUUUAGCCCACUGCCCGCAUAAUUUCAACCUAACCUAUCAGUGACACGCUCUUCAUUCUCCCGGCCCCAGAAAGGCCAAUAAGAAAACCCAGAUAUUUUAUUUCACCUAUUAGGUGUUAAAAAAUUCAUAGUUAAAAGAAUGGAGAGGUUCACCAAUCAGCAGCUAAUGUACCUUUAAGGGCUGAGGUGAGCCGGUCUCCUAGCAACAGCCAGGUUUGCAGCAGGUGGACAAUUAGGUUUUAGUAUCAUAUUAGUUAAAAGAGGCCCUGUGGGGGGAAGAAGGUGAGGGACGUUUUAACUGGAUAGCAGUACUGUCUGGGUUUAGAGACUCCACAGAAGACCCGAGUGACGGACGAGAGUCGAGUUGGACCUUCCGGUCGGGAAUCACGCUUUUUUGAAGGCAAUUGGUUGGAGUCGAAAUCGCAGACGCAAGAUAAGCAAGACUCCACAGGAGACCCGAGUGACGGACGAGAGUCGAGUUGGACCUCCCGGUCGGGAAUCACGCUUUAUUGAAGGCAAUCCGCUGGAGUCAAAAUCGCAGACCAUUCUUCAGAGAAACCACAUUUCUGUUGCUUCGAAGUUUCUUUGGAGUUCUGGUGUCAUAGUCCAUGUUUCGGAAGCAAACAGCAAGAUUGACCAGAUGGGGGAAUCACGUGAGGCAGAAACGAGGUCUUUAUAAAAAUCACAAAGAGGAGGGGUCCCAGAACAGAUCCCUGCAGAACACCACUGGUCACCGACCUCAAUGCAGAAUACAAACCAUCUAUAACCAUCCUUUGCCUCCUGUGGACAAGCCAAUUCUGGAUCCACAAAGCAAGGUCUCCUUGGAUCCCGUGCCUCCUUACUUUCUAAUGAGCUUUGCAAGGGGAACUGUGGUAGAAUCGGUUAAAACUAGUGUCUGAGGGGAUACUUGACCAUUCCGGAACAACUGGACUUAAGACUGCUGUUACAUGUCGAGAAUAACAUUGGAUGAUAAGCGCAGUACCAGGAACUCCAAGUAAUAAGAUACUAGGCCCCUGGAAUCAGAAGGCAGGGUGCGUCUGGGGGUAAAUUAUGAGCCCUGAUAACAGGGAACAAAGAGGACUAUUACACUUGCACUGAGAGAUAACUGACAUCUCUUUUAAACGACUGAUCAUGUACUGCCCGUGGGAUGCCAAACAAA